rnacentral:lncRNA from 1 species
AGGGCAAAAGUCCUGACUUCCCAGAGUAAUCGGCCAUGGGAUGGAAUCUGUUAAAGACACCAGCGUCCUACAGAGGAUGUGGUAAAAGGGAAAAGGUAGACUGGAAAGAAAAGAGAGCAAAGAGACAAAGAAUAGACCAACUCUGCUACAUCUCCAAGUCCUUCAAAUUUAUGUUUAUGUUUGGGGAGGUGCCCUAGUUUCCUGGGCAGCGAGUACAGGUGUAGUCAGGCCAGGACAAUGUGCCUUGCCCCGUUUGGGUGGAGCCCAGGUGAGAAAGUUUGUUCCACCAGUUGCAGCGAGCUUGGCCAAACGUGUAGCAAGCAGCUUUUAUUUCACUUCCUAUAGAAAAGGCAGCUUCCUUAACGAGCCUCUGAUAUGCAAGUGUCAUCUGUACCACUGCUGUUCUCCACUGUAGGGAAUAUUCUGGCACAAAGUGAAUCUAAUAUUAGCAGUAUGUCUUUGCAUACACUCAGCCUUUACAGAAUUAACCCAUCACACAAUGGGAACCCCAUUCUGGGACGUGGAUGAUCUGAACCGCCCCAGUAAUGAAAACUGGGUUGGGGAA